GACGAACGCUGGCGGCGUGCUUAACACAUGCAAGUCGAACGGACGAGUGAGAUAAGUUUACUUAACUCACAAGUUAGUGGCGGACGGGUGAGUAACACGUGGAUAAUCUACCUGCAACACCGGGAUAACGCUGUGAAAACGGUGCUAAUACCGGAUACGUUCCCUUGUGCGCAUGUAUGAGGGAAGAAAGCUCAGGCGGUUGCAGAUGAGUCCGCGGCUGAUUAGCUAGUUGGUGAGGUAAAGGCUCACCAAGGCGAUGAUCAGUAGCCGGCCUGAGAGGGUGAACGGCCACACUGGGACUGAGACACGGCCCAGACUCCUACGGGAGGCAGCAGUGGGGAAUCUUCCGCAAUGGGCGCAAGCCUGACGGAGCAACGCCGCGUGGGUGAAGAAGGCCUCGGUUGUAAGCCUGUCUUAUGGGUAAGAAGUCAGUGACGGUACCAUAGGAGGAAGCCACGGCUAACUAACGUGCCAGCAGCCGCGGUAACGUGAGU
rnacentral:rRNA from 1 species